rnacentral:rRNA from 1 species
UUUUUUGGAAGGAAAAAAAUGUAACAAGGUCUCCGUAGGUGAACCUGCGGAGGGAUCAUUACACAAAUAUGAAGGCGGGCUGGAACCUCUCGGGGUUACAGCCUUGCUGAAUUAUUCACCCUUGUCUUUUGCGUACUUCUUGUUUCCUUGGUGGGUUCGCCCACCACUAGGACAAACAUAAACCUUUUGUAAUUGCAAUCAGCGUCAGUAACAAAUUAAUAAUUACAACUUUCAACAACGGAUCUCUUGGUUCUGGCAUCGAUGAAGAACGCAGCGAAAUGCGAUAAGUAGUGUGAAUUGCAGAAUUCAGUGAAUCAUCGAAUCUUUGAACGCACAUUGCGCCCUUUGGUAUUCCAAAGGGCAUGCCUGUUCGAGCGUCAUUUGUACCCUCAAGCUUUGCUUGGUGUUGGGCGUCUUGUCUCUAGCUUUGCUGGAGACUCGCCUUAAAGUAAUUGGCAGCCGGCCUACUGGUUUCGGAGCGCAGCACAAGUCGCACUCUCUAUCAGCAAAGGUCUAGCAUCCAUUAAGCCUUUUUUUCAACUUUGACCUCGGAUCAGGUAGGAUCCCCCGUCCC